rnacentral:rRNA from 1 species
UACGAGAGUUUUAACUCUAGUGGCGGACGAGUGAGUAACGCGUGAGAAUUUGCCCGCAGGAGGGAAAUAACACCGGGAAACUGGUGCUAAAGUCCCAUAUACCUUUUGGUAAAAUAGAGCAAUCUGCCUGCGGAAAAGCUCGCGUCUGAUUAGCUUGUUGGUGGGGUAAAGGCCUACCAAGGCGAUGAUCAGUAGCUGGUCUGAGAGGACGAUCAGCCACACUGGAACUGAGACACGGUCCAGACUCCUACGGGAGGCAGCAGUGAGGAAUUUUCUGCAAUGGGCGAAAGCCUGACGGAGCAAUACCGCGUGAGGGAUGACGGCCUUUGGGUUGUAAACCUCUUUUUUCAAGGAGGAAGUUCUGACGUGUACUUGAAGAAUAAGCAUCGGCUAACUCCGUGCCAGCAGCCGCGGUAAGACGGAGGAUGCAAGUGUUAUCCGGAAUUAUUGGGCGUAAAGCGUCUGUAGGUUGCUUAUUAAGUCUGUGGUUAAAGGUUAAAGCUCAACUUUAAAACUGCCAUAGAAACUGGUAGGCUCGAGUAUUGUCGAAGUAAAAAGAAUUUCCAGUGAAGCGGGUGAAAUGCGUAGAUAUUGGAAGGAACACCAAUGGCGAAAGCAUUCUACUAGAGCUACUACUGACACUGAGAGACGAAAGCUGGGGUAGCAAAUGGGAUUAGAUACCCCAGUAGU